rnacentral:rRNA from 1 species
GGCAGGCCUAACACAUGCAAGUCGAGCGGUAGCACAGAGAGCUUGCUCUCGGGUGACGAGCGGCGGACGGGUGAGUAAUGUCUGGGAAACUGCCUGAUGGAGGGGGAUAACUACUGGAAACGGUAGCUAAUACCGCAUAAUGUCGCAAGACCAAAGUGGGGGACCUUCGGGCCUCAUGCCAUCAGAUGUGCCCAGAUGGGAUUAGCUAGUAGGUGGGGUAAUGGCUCACCUAGGCGACGAUCCCUAGCUGGUCUGAGAGGAUGACCAGCCACACUGGAACUGAGACACGGUCCAGACUCCUACGGGAGGCAGCAGUGGGGAAUAUUGCACAAUGGGCGCAAGCCUGAUGCAGCCAUGCCGCGUGUGUGAAGAAGGCCUUCGGGUUGUAAAGCACUUUCAGCGGGGAGGAAGGCGGUGAGGUUAAUAACCUCAUCGAUUGACGUUACCCGCAGAAGAAGCACCGGCUAACUCCGUGCCAGCAGCCGCGGUAAUACGGAGGGUGCAAGCGUUAAUCGGAAUUACUGGGCGUAAAGCGCACGCAGGCGGUCUGUCAAGUCGGAUGUGAAAUCCCCGGGCUCAACCUGGGAACUGCAUUCGAAACUGGCAGGCUAGAGUCUUGUAGAGGGGGGUAGAAUUCCAGGUGUAGCGGUGAAAUGCGUAGAGAUCUGGAGGAAUACCGGUGGCGAAGGCGGCCCCCUGGACAAAGACUGACGCUCAGGUGCGAAAGCGUGGGGAGCAAACAGGAUUAGAUACCCUGGUAGUCCACGCCGUAAACGAUGUCGAUAUGGAAGUUGUGCCCUUGAGGCGUGGCUUCCGGAGCUAACGCGUAAAUCGACCGCCUGGGGAGUACGGCCGCAAGGUUAAAACUCAAAUGAAUUGACGGGGGCCCGCACAAGCGGUGGAGCAUGUGGUUUAAUUCGAUGCAACGCGAAGAACCUUACCUGGUCUUGACAUCCACAGAACUUUCCAGAGAUGGAUUGGUGCCUUCGGGAACUGUGAGACAGGUGCUGCAUGGCUGUCGUCAGCUCGUGUUGUGAAAUGUUGGGUUAAGUCCCGCAACGAGCGCAACCCUUAUCCUUUGUUGCCAGCGGUUAGGCCGGGAACUCAAAGGAGACUGCCAGUGAUAAACUGGAGGAAGGUGGGGAUGACGUCAAGUCAUCAUGGCCCUUACGACCAGGGCUACACACGUGCUACAAUGGCAUAUACAAAGAGAAGCGACCUCGCGAGAGCAAGCGGACCUCAUAAAGUAUGUCGUAGUCCGGAUUGGAGUCUGCAACUCGACUCCAUGAAGUCGGAAUCGCUAGUAAUCGUAGAUCAGAAUGCUACGGUGAAUACGUUCCCGGGCCUUGUACACACCGCCCGUCACACCAUGGGAGUGGGUUGCAAAAGAAGUAGGUAGCUUAACCUUCGGGAGGGCGCUUACCACUUUGUGAUUCAUGACUGGGGUGAAGUCGUAACAAGG